UGAUAUUGAGGGUUAUCCAAACUAAAUUUCAGGGUAGAGUUUUGACAGGCACAUGGAAAAUCAUCAUUCAAACAUUGUGCACAAAUGUGCUAUAUCAUCAUUCACAUGCUAAAAAAAUUAACACCUAAUCAUCAACACAGUCAACCAAAAGAGAAAGAAACUGUUUCCUAUAUAGGAAUACUUAAGCUGUUGUGGUAACCUAUUCAGAGGCCUCAACUAAUGCAUUUUGCUGUACAACAAUAUGAACUCAGCUCUAGUUUUUUUACUCAUUUCCUUCACUAGAAGUUGGCCAUGUUGCAGUUGGGGCCUGGUUUGUUUCGGUAGAAGUAGGCCAUGAUGAUGUUGGAGCCUGGUUUGAUUCAGUAGAUGUAGGCCAUGAUGAUGUUGGAGCCUGGUUUGAUUCAGUAGAUGUAGGCCAUGAUGAUGUUGGAGCCUGGUUUGUUUCAGUAGAAGUAGGCCAUGAUGAUGUUGCAGCCUGGUUUGUUUCAGUAGAAGUAGGCCAUGAUGAUUUUGGAGUCUGGUUUGUUUCAGUAGAAGUAGGCCAUGGAGUUCUUGGUGCCUGGUUUGUUUCAGUAGAAGUACGCAAUGGAGUUGUUGGGGCCUGGUCCCCUCCUGCUCUUCCACGAGGUUUCCGGAAAUGCUUGUCAUUGAACGAUUCGGCAACGUCUGGAUACUUCUUCCGUACUAGGUUUUCCAGGCACUUCCUGUAGGAAAAGUCCUCCUUUUUACCAUUCUUUAAAACCACAUACAUGCAUCUACUUUCCUGAAAAUUGCUGUGUCUGCUAACCUGUAAAAACAAGCGCUCCAAGAAGGCUGUGUUUGGAACCCUAAUUUUUAAAGGGGAAAAGUAAUUUUGCCCUUAUUUUUUAAUACAUGGCAACAAGGUUGUGCGUGGAACCCUAGUUUUAAGGAAAAGCUCUUUUUGCCCUUAUUCUUUAAUGCAUGGCAUGUUUUUUUAGGGUUUUGGGUAAUUUACCACUCCAUUUUCUCUCUUCUAUAAACACGUGAGCAACAACUAUGAAGUAGGAACCUUUUGAAACCAUCCGCUUCCCCUUUUUCCCCUCUUUCUGCAGCAGUGAAUAAACUCUGCAAAUUUUGGCCACUCACUCACAUCUCAACCUCCCACAUACACAUUUCUAGGGAAAAGCUUCUUCCCCUCACUUCCCUUGUCACAUAGCCACUUCUUUCACAACUAUAACCUCAUCUCAACUACUAAGUUUUAAAUUUUUUAAUUAUUCCACUUCGUUCUCCCAGUUACAAAACUUAAAAGAGUAUAAAUUACUUAAUUUUUUAGUAUUUAAUGUAUUUUUUCCCUUAGCAAUAGCGGUCAUUCCACUAUAAUGUUUUUUGGGUUACCGCUAUGCCCCGCUAUCCGCAAUUGACUACCUAGUCAUGGAUAGUGUUGAACUAUUUACAGAAAUAUACAGUGACAGAUUCAAGGAAAAUUAGUUAAGAGCACAAAACAAUUCAGCAGAGUCCCUCCAAAUUUCAUGCUAUUAGCAUAUACUCAGCAACAUCAACAGCUUUCAAAUACAUUAAAAUUGUUGAGUUCUCUCUGUUUUUAAAAUUGUUGGGUCCACACAUAAAGUUCCAGAGUGAACCUUCAUAUUUUUAAAAUUGCUGGACUCUCUAUUCUGUUCACAUAAAUGGUCUAUGCUGACUUCUAUCUAGGUAUAUGAGUUCCUGACAUCCUUUUAUUAAUAGCUAGGAGGUUAUGAAAUCAUAAAAAUUCAUCUUGAAGAAACUAUAAUUUUCUAUGAGAAAAAUAGAAAUGACAAAAAUCAAUUUUCAUGUGAUACUGACAUUUCAUCAAUUUGUUAUAGUAUUCAAGGACCACUCACCUGAUCAACCCAAUCCCAAAUAAACCCUCCUUGGAGACCAAAUGUGUUGUCAAUUGCCUCCCAAUAUGUAUGUAGAUUCCCGUUGCUGUUGCCCAUUGCAUGUGAAUACCUACCAUUUCGGCAUCAUAAACAAAAAAGGAAUAAUUAUCACUGAAAAUAAUGAGGAACAGUUGAAGGCACCAUAUGUUACUGAUGAUAAAUUCAAAUACAGCAAGUAAUGUCUCAAAAACAAAGAAAGCUUACUCGCAAAGUAUUAGAGGACGUGUUUCUGCAGGAUCAUUUGCAAUUUUCAACAUGUCCCAAACACGCAUAUACAUAGGGCACACAAUAUCUGUGCAUGGAGUUCUCGAUCCACCUCCUUCAUAAUGUAAUACCCGUGAUGAAUCUCUUCCUCGAAUCCAACCUGAUGAAUGUCUUCACAUUAACAAGAUGAAGGGUGAAACAAAUAAAGAGUAAAAAAAUGGCAGCACAAUAUACGAGGCUCCCACCUAGUGGGAUAUGGUGAUGGUAGAUAUAUGCAUUCUUACCUUCGCAAGCAAACAGUCUGUUCACAAGUGAUAGACGGGACCAAAUGAAGAUGACAAUAGCAUUAGUUAACCCCCAUAUGAAGAUUCUCAGACAGUACCAAAGCCUAAUAAGAUGCAUCGUAUUGCUAUCCUAUUCUCACUUUUCUGAAAUUUUAUUGUAACAAAUCAUCGAUUGUUUUUCUCCUACCUUCUGUGAAUAAUUUGAAUGCAAAGCCCAUAAUUUUGGAAUUCUUUAAUAAGAGUUCACACGAUGGUAUUUUCUGAAAAGAACUCUUUAUCUUUUAGCACAUAGAGACAUACUGACCACUAACAAAUUGAUCUGUCUUUUGAAAUUAUAGUGCUUAAAAAUGGUUAUUUAUUUUCUUAAGUAAAUGAAAUGACAUUGGAUGCAAUUCUUUGGAAGGUACACCUCCACUAGAUUCAUAAGAAUUUUUUCAAAUGAACAAAAAUGGUAGUUCUAGAGUGAACACUUAAAUCCAUCCUUCGUAGUUUUAGAGUGAACACCUAUAUCCUCCCUUGUGAAAUUUAAAGACAGACACAUUAGUCUCGAUAAAUGAAAACCCUGUGGUACCUAAGAAUCUCAAAUUUUGGCCAGAUCAGUCCCUAAUAAGAACUAAUUUGAUCGACGUUUGAGUUUCAUGGAAAUCAUGUCGAGAAAUUUAUUUCUCGGGGGAAAAUAUUUCUGCUUCUAAAUUUCUAAGGGACAAAUACGGGGGUUCACUCACAGGUUAAAAAAUAAAAUGCUUCUAUUAUGUCAAAAAUCAGGGUAAGUGUAGUGAGUGCACUACCAGCUAAAGCAUAAUGAUUAUGUCCAAAUCCAGAUUCAUUCCCUAAAGACCAAGAGAUGAUGCAUGUGUGAUUUUUAUCUCUCUCAACCAUGCCAAUCACACGAUCCAACAUUGAAGUUGCCCAAAUUGGUUCCAGAGUUGGAUGCUUGAGAUGUUUAGAGUAAUCAAAACCAUGUGUCUCAAUGUUGGCUUCAUCUAUCAUGUACAUGCCAAACAGAUCACACAGCUCAUACCAACGUGGAUGUUGGGGAUAAUGACUGUUCCUUACAGCAUUAAUAUUGUUUUGCUUCAUUAAAACCAAAUCCUGUAGGCACAAUAGUCAGUCAAUAGUGUCUGGAAAAUGAAAAUGUCUAGCAUUUAGCCAUCAUAAAGAUAUGAACUGACAAUCUUAUUGAAGAAACUAAAAGGAGAAAAACAGAUUACCCAUACCUUUAUCAUACAGGACUCUAUAUUUGCCUUACCAACUCGUGGAUGAUGUUCAUGCCUGUUCACACCACGUAUUACGACAGCUUGUCCAUUAACCAGCAGCUGUUUGUGGGCUUUAGUUACAUUUCUAAAGCCUACUGAACAUGACUCACAGUCAAUAAUGUGGCCAGAUUGAUCUUUGAGGACGACAACUAGGGUGUAGAGGAAUGGCUGUGAGAAAUUUAAAGAAAACAAAAUGCCAAAUGAGAAUUAAAUGGGUACAGUUGAAAUCUGACGCAAAGAAUGCUAAGAAAAAGGGUGGUAGAAGCUUUAAGAAAAUUCUUCCAUAACAAUAAACUUCUAGUUGUAUAAAUAAAUUGAUAAAUUCCACCAAAACACAAGACUUCAUCAAUUUUUCAAAAAGAAAAAAAGAUCGCACAAAGUUAAGAAAAUUCUAACAUCAAUAAAAUUCUAAAUUCUAAUUGCAUAGAAUAAUUGAUGAAUCAUUGAAGCACAAUUUCUUUCAACCUUUAGAAAAGAGGGUAAGGAACUACGUCCAAAAUCAGUAUCUGCCAUAUUCAUCACUGGCUAUGAAAAUUAAAAUGUCCUAGGCAAGAAAAAAUGAAUAAGCAAUAGGUGAUGUAGCAAGAAACUUAGAACACGUGCAGAAUUACAGCCAUAGUGUAAGGAUGGAACUAAAAAUCUUGAUAACCAUGUAAUUAUUUCUCAACAGUAAUUUGAUCAAUGAGGAGAUAUUAAUGGAAUUGACAGGAUUUUUUAAGACAGUAAUGUUGAGAGAAUCAAAUCAUUGGUUCCUUACUCAAUGAACAAACAUCACCCAAGCAAAUAGGAAAGUGAUUAAAAUUUCUCACUUGCUCAGCAGACCAAAGCUUUGGUGACUGCAGUUUUCCAACAAGCGUAUAACCAUGAAAUCCUAGUGGUGUUGUUGCAGUGGAUGGUUGGAACUUUAUGUCAGCUACAUUAGAUGAAAGGAGAUCAGUAUUUCCAUCACAAGUAUACCAGCUCCCAGAAUCAUAUAGUGCAGCUUCUACGGUAUAGUUUGUAAGAAUAUUAUCCUUGGAUGUCUCUUGCGAAUUAUCUAUUUUCACUUCAACCUGGACCAAGUUUAUGAGAUUGAUAAUAUAACAUAACCCAAAUAACAAAAUAAAACCAUAACUAACAUCCAUUUUGAGAAAAAUAUUGAUAACUAAAUUCAACUUUAUAAAAUCAGAAAAAAAGUGAUAAUGAGUUAAAAAUAAUUGGACUUAGAAGGGGGGAAUCCACAAACAAGGAUAGUUACAUAUUAUAUAAAUAACAUGAAAAAUGAAGCAAGUAAUUUCACAAAUAUUUAUGCUUACCAGUAUCUCCGCGGAAGAAAAAUCUUCGGCAAGGAUUGAUUUGAAAAAAUAGUCAGUGAUAAAUACCUACACACCACAUAUUUUAUAAGACAUUAACAUCAAGCAGGAAAGAAAAUAGGAAAUAGUCAGACAACUAAACAAAUUGGACUUUCUAUAUUCAGAACAAAAUUAAAUAGAACAACACAUAAAAUAUUCUCAAACUUGGAUUUCCAAAAGUUUCAAAUCAUAAACGAGGCACAUUCAUGAUCUGAGCUAACUCUUAGCUUAAUUUAUUCUGUAAGAGACAUUAUAACACAAUGUUGAAGACAAAUAUCAUAUGUCAGCAUCUCAGAUAGAUGUCAUAUGUAAUGUAAACAGUAUAACCUUCUUUUUUCAUCCUUUUAGAAAAUGCAUUAAUAGAGCUAUAAUAAGACUGCAGCAUGUAAAUGGGACUAAGCAGAAGUGAGGAAAAUUUCAGAGAAGAAACCUUCGGCUUUGCAAGAAGAAUCACAUCACGGUGGAUGCCAGAUAAUCGCCAUUGGUCCUGAUCUUCAAGGUAAGAGCCAUCACUCCAUCUAAACACUUGAACAGCCAGAACAUUCUUAAGGUCUGAACCACAUGGGUGACAAAAAUCAGUGAUUUCAAACUCUGCAGGUAGCCUGCUGUCUUGGCUGUCAUUGCAAAAUAAUAAAACAUCUGUUAAUAAAACAUGAGGUGAUUAAUGUCAAAGCUUUAUUCUCAUUAUCUUUGUAUUUUAUGGGUAUUACGUAAUAAGACAAUGACAUCAACACCAACGAACAAACAAAAGCCCUUUUGUUUUAGCUUGAGUUGACCAAGGGCUAUAGUUAUCAAUUUAAAGUUUACUUUACGAUAUGCCUUCUUGUCAUCAUGCAUCACGGUUAACCAAUUUCUGAUUAUUUUCUUUCAGUCAUCAUAUUUAACUGUGUUGAGUAUACUGACGAAGCAUAUCCUCUACCAAAUAUGUCAAGGUUAUUAUGAUUUGUAAAUUGUGUGUGGUGCACCACACAUGAUAUUUAUAAUAUAGGAAGGGGUACAAGAAUAGUAUAUAAUAAUUACAAUGAUUGCAAAUCAAAUGAGAAAUUAAUGCAUAUCAAUUUCUGAUAUGCACUUCUGUUAAAUGUGUUAUUUCUAACACUACCCCCUCAAGCUAAAAGCUUACCAAGCUUUAAGGUUGUUAAACAAAAAUUAUAGAAAUUCUUCUUAGCACCAAAAACCUAUGAAAUUGAUAACGUAGGCAUCUACUUCUGGGAUAGAGAUGAGCCAGUACAUCUUGGACAAAAAUGAGAGCCAGAGCAUUAGGACAAAGGUGGAGUUAUUGUGACUUGCGAGUCAUUACCAAUAUAAGUCAUAAUCGGAAUGAUUGUCGACGGGAAUAGAAUUCAUUACAAAUAUGAUUCACAAGUAGAAUAGGAGGCACCAUCACAAUCAUUGAUGGAAGAAAAACUGCCACUGAUACGAUUCUCCAUUGGGUAGGCACCACCGAAAUGUUCAUUGGUGGAAAUAGCCACUGGUAUAAUCCAUUAGUGGAUAGGAAGCACCACUGAAAUGAACAUCAAUGGGAAGAAAAACCACAAAUAUCUGAGUGGAUGACAUGGACGAGAGAAAUGAAUAUCGAAGUUCUGAAUUUAUAUUGAUAGCACACAAGUCCUUGAUGGUACUGCUCUGAUUUCAUAUUAUAAUUUGGAAAUUGUGUGAAUUGCAAACCACACAUAAUAUUUGUAAUAUAGGAAGGGGUUUCAAGAAUAGAAUAUAAUAAUUACAAUGAUUGCAAAUCAAAUCAAAUCAGAAACUAAUGUGUAUCGAUUUCUGAUUUGCGCAUGUGUUAAAUGUGCUACUUCUAACAGUUGUAACAGCCAGUACCAGCAUGCACAAGAGAUAGAGAGAGAUACCUAUAUCCUAUUGGAUGCCCAUUUAUCCAUGCACAAAAGGCAGAAUCAACAGCUUCAAAAUGUAACAAAAUUCUUCUACCUAACAAAAACCAAUCCAUUGUUCAAAAGAAGUAUUCCAUAUUAAAGUAAAGUCUAUAGUUGAUAAAAAGGAAAGAAUAGAUGGUGACUUUAAAGCAACAUAAAUAAAACAAAUUGACAUCAUUUUUCCUAUACAAGAUACAGAAAAAAGAUUGAACAUAUAAUUCUUACAAGACUUGCAUUAUCAAGAUCUAUAAGCACUCAUUAAAACCUAUGUUUUCUCUCUAUAAAUGAUCAAUAAAACUAACUACAAUAAUAAAAAUAUAUUUACGUCUAAUUCAUUGUCUAAUAAAGAAUAAUUACAUCUAAAGUACAGCACACCAUAGUUACAUAACUAAAGAAUGGAAUUGGAACAUGGAAAGAAUGACAAUACCAAAUUUCUCCCAUUUUUUAAAAGAUAAAAGACUAAAUAUUGCUAAAAAUGAGUAAGUCAUACCCUCCCAUUCUUUAGGAAUAUGGAAUUCUGUUCUAUAGCAGCCCGUAGGAUUUUCAAUAGGAACCAAAGGAGGAUCUACUGGAAAUGGAUACACAACAUUUGUAUAUAUAGGGACAUCAUAUCCAUGCAUCUGCCAAUUUGAAGGAACUGUACAAGUUUGGGGAAAGUAAUUAGACGUGGAUGAAAUACUAGUGAUCAUAAAAAUGACAUCGUUCAAUUCACAGGCAAGGAUUAAAAAAGUAUACGGAUGAUAAUACGAACAAAUAAAACAAGCAAUAAGAGAACAAAAUCUCCUAUAAGAUGAAUUCAUUAACCAAGCCCAAAUGAUCCAUAAAAACCACACGUGUAACUAGGAAAAUGCUGUGGCCUGUUACGUGUAGCUAUCCCAUCUUUCUGAAUAUUAGUGACAAAAACACCUGAAAAAACCCAGGGCAAGAAUCCAAAGGGAAGUCGGGUACUGCUUUAUUCCUUCCCUUUCAAAGACAGACCUAUAGUUCAAUCCAAAACCCUUUGGUACACAAUUAUAUAUGAACAUAAUGAUGAAUUUGAUAGAGCACAUUUUUACAAGAAAAAUCAAAUUAUAGAGCACUUUCUAACAAAACAAAAGCAAAUAGUACAGUUGGAAUAUCUGUUACUGGCCUAUGACACUGCAACAGAGUUAUACACACUGCAUGUAAAUUAAUGGUUAUAAAAUAUAUGAGCAUAAAUAUACACUUACCAGGCAAAAAUUUCCACUCCAAAUCCUGGAAAUCACUUUCAAAAAAUUUAUCGGGGACAGUGUUUGGACUGUCAGCAAGGAAAAAUUUCCAAUGUCCAGACAAGGACUUAACAAAUGGUAAGUCUUUGACCCAAAAUGCACAACAAUCAAGAGCUUCAUCAACAGCAUCAUCAUUCCAAACAGCAGAUUUUGAAACCAAAUGAUCCACCUGGUUGCGUUUAUACCAAUAUUUAAGAGAUCCUACACAUGACAAGAUUCCAAUUUAUCCAAAAGAAAAGGAAACAAAGAUAUCAGAAACAUAAAACACUGAUGAUUUUGAUGUAAUUUAAAUCCAUAAAUUGCUUAAUUCAUAGAGUAAAUUUACAAACUUUACUCACUAAUUAUCAGUUUCAAAAACUACGAUCAUAGAUUAUUAAAGCAUCACCCUGAAAAUCAACUAAACCCAUCUUCUGUUUCUAAAGACAAAUAAACUCUACACAGCAUUGAAAUGAAUUUAUUCAAACUCACUAUUCAAAUAUCUAAAAUAAAUGAAGAUUUUUUUAAUGAUAAAGAGAUCAUUUAAAAAAACAUGAAUUCAGAAUGCAAAUAUUGUAUAUCCUAUUAUAGACAAACCCAACCCCAUGUAAAUGAAUUCCACUUUAUCAAACUGAUAUAGAAUCAUAAACCAAAAUCAACACAAAAAAAUGACAAUAACCACUAAAAGUUUGAACAACAAAAAAAUACAAAAACCUAAAAUAGUGAAUUGAAAAAUGGACCUUCAACAGAGUCACGGCAAUGCAGGGUAACAUGUGAUUCUCUUUUUCUCCAUUUGAUGAAAGAAGGAUCCUCCCAAACUCUGUAACCAGAAUCUGUAGAAAGAACAAGUGGUCCCACCAAAGAACUCAUCACAAAAUAAACCUAUGAAUCAGUGUUUUUUGGGUAUAAGAGAGAAGAAGAAGAAGAAAUAACUGUUUUAUCAAAAAACAAAGCCAAUGGAAAUAUCACAUUUGUUGCCUAUUUAUGCCUUCCAGCGGAGGAAUCUAAACCCAUCCCUCUUAUUUUUAUAAUAACACGUUUUUAAUUAACUUCAGUCAUUAUCACUUUUCUUAAUUUUUAAAACUUAUUAUGAAAUUUUAAUAUGACUCUUUAAUCAAUAGUUUUAUUGUAAACAACAAAAACAGACAUAAAAUAUCUUAUAAAAAAAUAUGAUUUUAGAUUGUAGUCUUAAGGAUAAGAGUGGAUAUUAUUUAUGAGAGUGAGGUCACUUAUGUCAUGGAAAGUGAGUUUGACCUUAAAUUAGACAAAUAGCUGAAGACCAAUUUCUUCUUAGAUUUCUGUUAACUAUUCAAGUUAUUCAUGUGAGUAAUAAAUGUUACACUUUGGAAUUUGUCUUUAAUGCUAACAUCGUUUUCCCCUUUUAGUCAUCAAAAGUCCAUCUUGAAUUAAGCCAGUACUGAACAAGAUAAUUGAACCUAAUAAUGUUAUGUUAAAUUUUAAUUAGAUUUAAGGAUGAUAAGCUUUAAAGCAAAAAUGACUAAAAAGCUAAUGAAAUCUAGGGAGAGUAAAUAUACAUAACUUUACUCAAACAAGCGAAUAGACUAUUUCUAAAUUUUUAUCGGCCGAAGGUAUGUAGUUUAUUUUUUAUUUUUUGAAUGGAAAGGAUAGAUAAAAUAAAAUGAAUUUAAAGUAAUCUUCAUGUUCUAAAUCCUAGAAUAGAUGCUAAGAAACCUUGGUAAUAGGAAUAAACCAAAUGAUAUUGAGGGUUAUCCAAAAUAAAUUUCAGGGUAGAGUUUUGACAGGCACAUGUGCCAUCAUCAUUCAAACAUUGUGCACAAAUGUGCCAUCAUCAUUCACAUGCUAAAAAAAUGAACACCUAAUCAUCAAAACAGUCAACCAAAAGAGAAAGAAACUGUUUCCUAUAUAGGAAUACUUAAGCUGUUGUGGUAACUUAUUCAUAGGCCUCAACUAAUGCAUUUUGCUGUACAACAAUAUGAACUCAGCUCUAGUUUUUUUACUCAUUUGCUUCACUAGAAGUUGGCCAUGUUGCUGUUGGGGCCUGGUUUGUUUCGGUAGAAGUAGGCCAUGAUGAUGUUGGAGCCUGGUUUGAUUCAGUAGAUGUAGG
rnacentral:lncRNA from 1 species